rnacentral:tRNA from 1 species
UUUGUUUUAGUAUAAUAUAUUAUUUUAGCUUUUCGUGUUAAGGAUAGUUUGUGUAUGACUAAACAAAA